rnacentral:rRNA from 1 species
CGAGCGGACCGACGGGAGCUUGCUCCCUUAGGUCAGCGGCGGACGGGUGAGUAACACGUGGGUAACCUGCCUGUAAGACUGGGAUAACUCCGGGAAACCGGGGCUAAUACCGGAUGCUUGAUUGAACCGCAUGGUUCAAUCAUAAAAGGUGGCUUUUAGCUACCACUUACAGAUGGACCCGCGGCGCAUUAGCUAGUUGGUGAGGUAACGGCUCACCAAGGCGACGAUGCGUAGCCGACCUGAGAGGGUGAUCGGCCACACUGGGACUGAGACACGGCCCAGACUCCUACGGGAGGCAGCAGUAGGGAAUCUUCCGCAAUGGACGAAAGUCUGACGGAGCAACGCCGCGUGAGUGAUGAAGGUUUUCGGAUCGUAAAACUCUGUUGUUAGGGAAGAACAAGUACCGUUCGAAUAGGGCGGCACCUUGACGGUACCUAACCAGAAAGCCACGGCUAACUACGUGCCAGCAGCCGCGGUAAUACGUAGGUGGCAAGCGUUGUCCGGAAUUAUUGGGCGUAAAGCGCGCGCAGGCGGUUUCUUAAGUCUGAUGUGAAAGCCCCCGGCUCAACCGGGGAGGGUCAUUGGAAACUGGGGAACUUGAGUGCAGAAGAGGAGAGUGGAAUUCCACGUGUAGCGGUGAAAUGCGUAGAGAUGUGGAGGAACACCAGUGGCGAAGGCGACUCUCUGGUCUGUAACUGACGCUGAGGCGCGAAAGCGUGGGGAGCG